GCGGCCUAUCAGCUUGUUGGUGAGGUAAUGGCUCACCAAGGCAACGACGGGUAGCCGGCCUGAGAGGGCGACCGGCCACACUGGGACUGAGACACGGCCCAGACUCCUACGGGAGGCAGCAGUGGGGAAUAUUGGGCAAUGGACGCAAGUCUGACCCAGCGACGCCGCGUGCGGGAUGAAGGCCUUCGGGUUGUAAACCGCUUUCAGCAGGGAAGAAGCGAAAGUGACGGUACCUGCAAAAGAAGCACCGGCUAACUAUGUGCCAGCAGCCGCGGUAAUACAUAGGGUGCAAGCGUUGUCCGGAAUUAUUGGGCGUAAAGAGUUCGUAGGUGGUUCGUUACGUCGGAUGUGAAAAUCUGGGGCUCAACCCCAGACCUGCAUUCGAUACGGGCGAGCUGGAGUUUGGUAGGGGAGACUGGAAUUCCU
rnacentral:rRNA from 1 species